rnacentral:tRNA from 1 species
GCUGGCGUAGCUCAGUUGGUAGAGCAGCUGAUUCGUAAUCAGCAGGUCACGAGUUCAAGUCUCGUCGCCAGCUCGA